rnacentral:lncRNA from 1 species
AAAGCUAAGAUUUAAAAGUGCAACAACGAGGUGAUACAACUCAAUCCGAUCAGACCCAGUUCUCCGCUAAGGGUGAAUUUCCUAAUGCAAUUCCCUUUACAAUCAUGUCUCAUUCCUUUUCAUAUUCUUUCACUAUUCGCUUUACGCUUCUCUUCUUUUUUUUUUUUUUUUGGGGUUAAGUUAUUUUCGCUCUUAAUAGAUGGGCCAUAAUUCACGAGAUUUCACUUUUGGAGGUGAUCCAAAAUGUUCUCGUGUGGUUUCCCAUGCUCAUAAUGAAAUCAUUAGAGGAGCAGAGACCCAGACUAUCAGAAGCUCAACAACCAACCAAACAUUUCACAACAGAGACAGAUAUUAGGAAAUUGCACUGAAAACACUCCCCUUAGCAUCUACCGGACAAAUCACGUCAAGAGUUGCUCAUCAGGGUGUUGCACCAAAACCUUAAACUUAUUACACUUCAUAGGGAGCAAAUCAAUCAAGAAAAACGAGGACAACAAUCCAAACA